UGCAAACCCUGAUACAAAUUGACUUGAACUGGAUGUUGCACUGGAGUUCUCUGUUCAAAAUAUGAACCAAAAUUUACUUUAAAAAGACCUAUUUUGAGAUUUUGUGUGUGUGUGUGUGUGUGUGUGUGUGUGAAAGAAAAUGCAUUUAAAUGCAA